CCUUUGACAUUCAUGCUUUUCUUCCUCUUGGUCUUGGUCUUUCUGUCGGUCAUGGGGGACGAUGGAGUGAGGUCUUUUCCCAGAGAAGGGCUUGUAGCCCCCUCAAUGCUUGAUUCUGCUGGAUGGAGACAAGAGAUGAAACAUCUAGAACAGCCAGCAGCCUCAUCAACAGUCAGAAGAGCUGGAAUACAAGACACAAGUCAUGAAAAAGUAAACUAAAAAACAGGCCAUUGACCCCAGGAGUAGGAGUAGUGGCUGGAGCAGGGCCAGCUGGAGGUGCUGCCCUGUGUGGAUGCUUUCCUGGUACCUUUACAGUUACACGCAGCAAGUCCAUCUCCUUACCAUGGGUGCUCUGCCUAUAG